AAAACAAAGGAGCAGGUAUCAGGCACAACCACUUAGCCCAAAACACCUUGCUACGCCACACCCACACGGGCACCCAGCAGUGAUAAAUAUUAAGCAAUGAGUGAAAGCCAAUCUAAGCUCGACUUAGUUAUGAUCAUCAGGGCCGGUAAACCUCGUGCCAGCCACCGCGGUUAUACGAGGGACCCAAAACAGCAGACACCGGCGUAAAUUGUGACUAGAGCACCUACUUAUAACAAUGGGAAAUAAACAAAAGCCCGCCCGUAAAACCUGGGCCAAAAGAAACACACCUUCCCAAUUAUAAAGUAACUUGAACCCACGAAGACUAAGAAACAAACUAGGAUUAGAUACCCUACUAUGCUUAGUUGUUAACACGACACCAAAAAACACUAGUGUCCGCCAGAGAAUUACACGCGAAAAGCUUAAAACUCAAAGGACUUGGCGGUGCUCCGUAUUCGUCUUAGAGGAGCCUGUCCUAUAAUCGAUAACCCACGCUUUACCUUACCAUCUUUUGUUAAAAUCAGCCUAUAUACCGCCGUCGCAAACUUACCCCAUGAGGGCGCAACAGUAAGUAAAAAAAGUAGUACACUAACACGUCAGGUCAAGGUGUAGCUAAUAAGAUGGAAGAGAUGGGCUACAUUUUCUAAAACAGAACACACGGCAAAGGGCAUUGAAAAAUGCCCUCAAAGGUGGAUUUAAUAGUAAGAUAGAAGAAAAAGUCUAUCUAAACCCGCUCCGGAGCGC
rnacentral:rRNA from 1 species